UGGUGUGUAGCUCAGUGGUAGAGCACUUGUCUGGCAUGUGAGAGGCACUGGGUUUGAUCCUCAGCACCACAU
rnacentral:tRNA from 1 species